CCUCUUGCUUAGUAUUGGGAAUCUACUUUCAGAAGCUACCUGUAGCGACCUCUGUAGUUCCUUAAAGACACCGGCGGAGUUGUGGUUUUCUCCGAGCUUAGUAAUUUUUUCUAGCUUUCGAGUUGCCACCUCCCCUGCCGUUAAACACCCAAUUUUUAAUGGUUGACCUCGGAUCAGGUAGGAAUACCCGCUGAACUUAA
rnacentral:misc_RNA from 1 species